AUGAUUUACAUUUGAGUGAGUGGCGAACUGGUGAGUAACACGUGGGAAACCUGCCCAGAAGCGGGGGAUAACACCUGGAAACAGAUGCUAAUACCGCAUAACAACUUGGACCGCAUGGUCCGAGCUUGAAAGAUGGCUUCGGCUAUCACUUUUGGAUGGUCCCGCGGCGUAUUAGCUAGAUGGUGGGGUAACGGCUCACCAUGGCAAUGAUACGUAGCCGACCUGAGAGGGUAAUCGGCCACAUUGGGACUGAGACACGGCCCAAACUCCUACGGGAGGCAGCAGUAGGGAAUCUUCCACAAUGGACGAAAGUCUGAUGGAGCAACGCCGCGUGAGUGAAGAAGGGUUUCGGCUCGUAAAACUCUGUUGUUAAAGAAGAACAUAUCUGAGAGUAACUGUUCAGGUAUUGACGGUAUUUAACCAGAAAGCCACGGCUAACUACGUGCCAGCAGCCGCGGUAAUACGUAGGUGGCAAGCGUUGUCCGGAUUUAUUGGGCGUAAAGCGAGCGCAGGCGGUUUUUUAAGUCUGAUGUGAAAGCCUUCGGCUCAACCGAAGAAGUGCAUCGGAAACUGGGAAACUUGAGUGCAGAAGAGGACAGUGGAACUCCAUGUGUAGCGGUGAAAUGCGUAGAUAUAUGGAAGAACACCAGUGGCGAAGGCGGCUGUCUGGUCUGUAACUGACGCUGAGGCUCGAAAGUAUGGGUAGCAAACAGGAUUAGAUACCCUGGUAGUCCAUACCGUAAACGAUGAAUGCUAAGUGUUGGAGGGUUUCCGCCCUUCAGUGCUGCAGCUAACGCAUUAAGCAUUCCGCCUGGGGAGUACGGCCGCAAGGCUGAAACUCAAAGGAAUUGACGGGGGCCCGCACAAGCGGUGGAGCAUGUGGUUUAAUUCGAAGCUACGCGAAGAACCUUACCAGGUCUUGACAUACUAUGCAAAUCUAAGAGAUUAGACGUUCCCUUCGGGGACAUGGAUACAGGUGGUGCAUGGUUGUCGUCAGCUCGUGUCGUGAGAUGUUGGGUUAAGUCCCGCAACGAGCGCAACCCUUAUUAUCAGUUGCCAGCAUUAAGUUGGGCACUCUGGUGAGACUGCCGGUGACAAACCGGAGGAAGGUGGGGAUGACGUCAAAUCAUCAUGCCCCUUAUGACCUGGGCUACACACGUGCUACAAUGGAUGGUACAACGAGUUGCGAACUCGCGAGAGUAAGCUAAUCUCUUAAAGCCAUUCUCAGUUCGGAUUGUAGGCUGCAACUCGCCUACAUGAAGUCGGAAUCGCUAGUAAUCGCGGAUCAGCAUGCCGCGGUGAAUACGUUCCCGGGCCUUGUACACACCGCCCGUCACACCAUGA
rnacentral:rRNA from 2 species